UGCUUCUAUCGCUUCACCCCUGGGGAAUCAGUUCCUACACCCCUUGAGUAUAAUGGUCACCAAGGGGUGCUGGCCUGACACGUCCACUUUCUGUUGAGAAGGUUAGAACAAACACCAUGUGUGUCAGUUAGUUGCACAUAUAAUACCUCAAUGUUAAGUCUGCAUAAAGUCUGAAGUCUGUAGCCACUCUUAAUCCUAGGUUGUCGUGACUUUAAUCUAGCCUGGGUGGAUAUUUUGCUGUGCUAAAAGCACGGACUGCGUUACGCCCCAGCACGGCGGCCGGGGCGCCUCCCCUGGAAGAAAACGGCACCGGGGAGGGGGGACGGACGGCGAUGGGGCCGGGGAAAGAGCGCGGCACCGUAACCCCACAAGCCGCCCGCAACACCGCCGUUAUUCUUGUGCCUCUUGGGCGCCGCCGACGCCCUGCGGAUGGGGAGCGCAUCCCAGACGGGCGGGAGCCAGGAGGGCCGCCCGCGCCACCCGGCCGGCGAAGCAGCAGCCCGGCCAGGCGCGGCGGGCGGCUGGGUGGCGGCCGGACAUAACAUGGCCAGUCACCGUGCCGUUUUCGAGAAAUUUAGUAUAAAAGCACGACAUUACCGAGAUUUGAGCUCACACCCAUAUAUGGCCUUGGCUCAGACAGUAUACGAACAGGUGACGGGGAUACCUCCCAUAGAAGGAUGAGACACGAAUUUAAUGCUAAAUAUUAGCGGCCGGCCGCUGUAGGGACGUUUUUGUACGACUUAUAUCUCCGCAGCCACUGGACCGUUACACUUGCAGUUUUUUGUGUGGGGUAGUGUAUGCCCUUCUUAGAAGUAUUUUACUAUGGACAAUGCAUGCGGGUAACCCCCACUGCACGUGACACGUGUAAAACAGAGAGGUGUCACUUUUGUUGUAAUGACAAUAACACGGUACAACUUGAUUGUAAUGACAAUAACUACAUUAUAACAAGGAUGUAGGCACCUACCGGGCAAUGUGUUUAAAUGUGUCACGGUUGGGGUGCAACUGCACGUGCACACGUGCAGGGUGACGCUUCCAGAUCUCGAGAACGGCCGGGCCGAUUGUGCUCAGAUUUGGCACAUCGCUAGAGACCGGAGACGAGAUUGAAGUGCAGCCAACACUGCAUGGUGCUUCUCACAAGAGCUGACCCAAUGCUGUUUUUCAACUCUUCUGGAAAAGAUCCCGAAAGAAGAUAACAGCUUGUUUUCUUCACCGCCACCAGUCUACCUGCUCUCUGCACACUCGGCAGAGCGCGGCAGGGCACCCCACGGAGCUGCACUAGUCACAUCCGGGCCCCACGCCGGUCGACGGCCGAUGCGAUGGAGGCACUACUCCGAGCUGGACUGGUGGCCGGCUCGGAGCUGGUGGAUGUCGACCGCGGAGCGGCGUUCUACUCCUUCCACCGGGCCCGGCAGCAGGAGCUCCAGAUGUCCUUGUGCCACCCGUCCGGCCAGGCCUCCAUCCACCUUGUAGAGGCGGAGCGGGAGACGGUGAAGCUCACGGCUCCGUUGGAACAUGGCCGCUGGGAGGCCUGCGGCGCGGACGACGGAUGCGGCAGUUGGUCAAGACACGGCAGCCUACUCGAGGUGCUUCUCGCCUGGAGGACGCAGGCGAAUCGCGUUAUCCGAGCUGUGCCUCGUCAUGGUGCGAUGAGCCUUAAUAGACUAAUGCAUAUUCUUCCUUUGGCUGUAAUUCAUUUGCUGCUGCCCGCUGGGCUAAGGACUAACUCUGGGCGCCUACUUUGGGCAGACGCUCGUCCAGUGCCGCUCUUCGUUUGCCGCACAUAUCUUUAUUUAUUCUUUGUUACAAUUCCGUCUUUGGUCAUUUUUUUUUUACCAUGGGGGCACUUGAAAGUUUUGUUUUUAAAUCUGUGGACAUUGAACCUGGAAUCGGUUUUUGUCGGAUUUCGGUUUUGUUUUUGCACUGUGGAAAUAUCUCGUUCAAUAUUUUUUAAGAUAGGGCGUGCAUAAACUUUUAGUCUCAUUACUCCUCUGUGCAUCUAAAUUCUAAAGUACUAUAAUGUGUAUCUCAAGUGUUUGGUGCUGUACUGUUAUUAUUUAUGGUUAAUCCAGUGCUGAUUUAUGGUUAAUCCAGUUUUUAUUCGAUUGAAUCGUGUGUAGUGCAUGACAUCCGCGUAUGCACUGUGGAAAUAUCUCGUUCAAUAUUUUUUAAGAUAGGGCGUGCAUAAACUUUUAGUCUCAUUACUCCUCUGUGCAUCUAAAUUCUAAAGUACUAUAAUGUGUAUCUCAAGUGUUUGGUGCUGUACUGUUAUUAUUUAUGGUUAAUCCAGUGCUGAUUUAUGGUUAAUCCAGUUUUUAUUCGAUUGAAUCGUGUGUAGUGCAUGACAUCCGCGUACCGCCUGUAGCAGUGUUAUAUAUUUUCAUUUAUGCUGGAAAAUAAUAACUUUCUUGUUCA